GACGAACGCUGGCGGCGUGCUUAACACAUGCAAGUCGAACGGAAAGGCCCUGCUUUUGUGGGGUGCUCGAGUGGCGAACGGGUGAGUAACACGUGAGUAACCUGCCCUUGACUUUGGGAUAACUUCAGGAAACUGGGGCUAAUACCGGAUGGGAGCUCCUGCUGCAUGGUGGGGGUUGGAAAGUUUCGGCGGUUGGGGAUGGACUCGCGGCUUAUCAGCUUGUUGGUGGGGUAGUGGCUUACCAAGGCUUUGACGGGUAGCCGGCCUGUGAGGGUGACCGGCCACAUUGGGACUGAGGUACGGACCAGACUCCUACGGGGGGCAGCAGUGGGGAAUAUUGCACAAUGGGCGGAAGCCUGAUGCAGAAACGCCGCGUGCGGGAUGACGGCCUUCGGGUUGUAAACCGCUUUCGCCUGUGACGAAGCGUGAGUGACGGUAAUGUGUAAAGAAGCACCGGCUAACUACGUG
rnacentral:rRNA from 1 species